ACUGGCGAGGGGGUCUCAUUCGCGAUUGUCCCUUGGGGAGGAACUUGCUGAGCCGAGACUGAGUUUGGAUUGACCCCACAAACCGUAAGCACUGCUGUAGCUUGGUUCAAAGCACAGUGGCUUGGUUGUAUGUCAUGUUCAUGGUUGCAUGUGGUGUUGACAGUGGUAGGCUCGCUACUUUUGUGACCUUUUGUGUUUUUCGUGUUCUUCUAAGUCAUUAUUCUGGUGCUAGCUUGCUUUUUACUUAGUUGCCUGCUUCUUACUGUGAGAAAUGUAAUUUGAUUGUCAUGGAUUUGUAGAUCAGUGAAAAGUAACAGAUUUGUCCUUCAGGGCCAAAGCCUCAGAGUCCUUCAGCAUCAGCAACCAAAUAAUAGAAACCAGGUUUUUAUUGGUGGAAAAAGCUCUCAUUGUUUAUCCGUCCUUGGCUCCUGUUUGUUUGCUGCGCUAAAAAAGAACACUUUCAGAGACCGAUCUAAACCUUAAGAAAAGCUAACUGCGCCUACAAAUUGUUUUGUUUGCUUCUGACACUUCUCUUUUUUUGGGACGACAAUGAGUUCUUGAAAGUGAAUCCUGGGGAGAUUUUCGACUUACACGUCCCGAUAGUCAUCGCCAUUGUGUGGAAUAAAAGCUUUGUAUGUACAAGUAGACCCCUCCUCGAAUAUUCUUCACGUCACUGUACCUCUGUGGUGUCACGUUGCAAGGAGAUUAAGAGUUUUCACCUCAAAUGGAGCAUCUCACCUGUGCUGCACACCAGAAAGGAAAGCUAAUCCAUCCCAAACAGAAACCUAAGGAUGCCACCUCUGUGUGCUUCUGGAGGAGCUGUCACUCAGCUGGUACUGGGAGGUGUGUGUGUUGGGGAGGGUAUAUAGUAUAUUACAUUUACAUUUACAUUUAGUCAUUUAGCAGACGCUUUUGUCCAAAGCGACGUACAAGGGAGAGAACAGUCAAGCUACAAGCAAUAGAGACCUAGUGUAACAAUAAAUACUAUUUUACAUAAGAAAAAGAAAAAAGUGCAUGAAUGUAACUGCUAUAAGUGCAAGUUAAGUACUAAUAGAAGUGCAAGUUAGGAUAUAUAUAGUGUAUAUGUAUAGUUAUAUAUUGUAUAGUUAUAUUUAGUUGAAUUUAUUAGUCCCCGGAGAGAAAUUAAAUCAUCAGAUAGCAGCUAGAUACAUUCAAAUUGAAAUGUCAACAGGUACAUUAACACAGCGGCUAACACAAAUAAGCAGCAAGACUAAUUGCCAUUGUGUCACAAGUUCAUAUACAUUUUAUUAUGCAGUUAGUGGAUGGUGAAAAUGGACAUAUUGGACUUAAAAAAAAAAAAAUGGCACAGUAUGUAUGGACAUCUGCAUCUAUAAAUCUAAAUCAAACAAGAACCUUUUACAUACUGAUUGUCUGAUGUAACAAGACACUGAAAAAUGUUAUUGCCCAGUGAGAUCCCAUCAAGCAGUGUGAGAUUACAGUCGGGCGUGAUUGGAGAGGAUGGGGUCGCUCAGACUUUUGAAGAGCUUGCAUUGCCAGGUUUGUUAUUACUUCCCCAGCUAGGCCCGGUCUCACAUCUCAGCGUUUGAUUCGCGGACGUGCUGUGCAGCGCAUGUUGAACUGCCUUCCCUUGUUAUGAGAAGAAAACUCAAGACUCAAAGGUCCCCUUUUUUGCUGAAGAAAAAAAAAAAAAAGAAAAAAGAAAAAAAAAACGACCCAAGUCUGAUAGGGCCAUGGAAAUAAUUUGCUCAUCGUUUUUAAACUUCUGGAGGCCAUAGCAGGCCGGCUAAAGCAUGAUCUCACAGUCGCUCGUUUUAAACUCCUGGAGGCCAUAGCAGGCCGGCUAAAGCAUGAUCUCACAGGCGCUCGUGUUGCCUGCCUCCACCCACAUGAGCACAACGGGUCAGCAAGCCUUUUCCCCCGUGGACAUCAGUAAAACUGUCCUGCUUUGGCCCAGCGGAGGGUGGGAGAAUAUUCUAGAAAAGAAGCCCCCCCUUGGUGUUGCUCCCCGCUGGUUACCAGUUGUGGCGGCUCUUUGGUGUCGAUAGGCAACUGUAAUAUAGUCUUGCGGAAAACGGAAAACAGUUAGGUGAGGGGUUUAGGUAAGUGCUUUUUAUGAAAAAUCUACAGUUUGAUUCUCAUUUUUGUGAUUUAAUAGCAGAGGUAAUAAUAAUAUAACUACCGAGUGUACUAUUUCUGUAUUUAACAAAGAUAAAAUAGUACGCUUAUCAAGGAGGAUCCUAAGUAUUAAAAGGUUGCAGAUAUUGUGUGCAGCAUUUGUAAGUUGCACCAAAGCGUGUCAUGCAGUUUCUUUGAAAGUCUGCUAUUUGAUUCCUUUACAACAUUUCAGCCAAUAUGUCACUGGUCUCGGCCGCGUCACACAAGGAGCCAGUUUACACACAUGCGUACACGCAUGCACACACACACACACACACACACACACACGUGCAUGCACACACGCACACAUACACACACAUGCACACGCAUGCACCCACACACACGCAC
ensembl:lncRNA